CCCCUCUCAAGGUCGCACCUGGAGAGUUUCCAAUACUCUUCCAGUCUUGACUAAGGGAGGGAGAGUCAAGCCGAGGAAUACCCACUCCAUUCCUAGCUUGGCCAGUGGCUGGCAAGUGAAAGACAAUCGGCUGCAAGU